GGUGAUUGGGUCCUAGAUGAGGAGGGCGGGAUCAAAUCUUGCCCUGAGCUUUGAUUGGCCGCCGCUAGAUUGCCUACAGAAGCUCUUCCAGGGUACCGAGGUUUUCUGGAAUCUCUUAAAGGCUACGAGCCCGGGGUCCACCGGCUCCGGGAUGCCAUUGGCUGCUGGCUUGGCGCAGGCGCUAUGGCUCCCGGGUUGGCGUUCGGGAUUGCUGAGGCAGGGCUUUGGCUACUGGAGACUGUAGGUUCGAAUCCCAUCUAGGAACUUCAGUUUGCGCACCUGUAAAAGAAGCUGGUAUUAUUGGCUGGCACAGAAUGUAUUGGGACUUGAAGACUCUGAUCUGCUUGGUGGUGAAUAUCCCAGAGUGAGGUGUCUGAGCUCUUUGCUGUCUAAGAAGGUGAUGUAAUGAUGGAAGCAGAGUUGGAAAAGGAGAUUUGACAGCUGAAACAGAGAGAAGAGAGAUCAGAGAGACAUUUGAAGAUGAAACGCUGCUGGCUUUGAAGAUGGAGGAAGGGGCCAUGAACCAAGGACUGCAGACAGCCUCUAAAACUGGAAAAUGAAAGGAAGUGCAUUUUCCUGGAGCUUCCUGAAGGGAAGUAGCUCUGCCGAAAACUUGACUUUAUCUCUGUAAGACUCAAUUUUAGGUCUCUGACCUAUAGAAGUGUACAAUAAUAAAUUAGUGUUGUUUUACAAUACCAAGAUUUUAGUGAUUUGUUAUAGGAGAUGAACAGUGUCCUGGCUUGUGAUGUCUCUAUCUGAUUGUCAGUGCACAUCCCAGGAUGAGAACUCCAUUAUCUGUCGGUGAAUGUGUGUCAGAUGGUGUGAGGGUGUGCCCCCAAAUUUUUGGUCUCUGAGCUGUUUGUUCCUGUAUGUCUCAGAAUGUGAGGUCUCCAAUCUGUUUGUAUGUUUGUGUCCUAGGAUAUGAGGUCUUUGAGCUGAUUCAGGAUGUGUGUCCAGUACUUGAGGUCUUUUUUUCACAGGGGGGUCGUGCCACUUAUGGGAUCUUAGUUCCCUGACCAGGGAUUGAACCUGGGCUUACAGCAGUAAAAGCACAAAACCUAUAACCAUUGGACCGUCAGGGAAUGCCUAUAGUAUAUGAGCUCUUUAAUAACAUAUCUGGGGUUUGCAUUCCAGGUUAUUAGGUCUCUGGUGUAUUUCAGAGGUAUUUCUGAUGUUAAUGAACUUUCUGCUUUUCUCAGUGAUAUAUCUACCAUAAUAUGAAGUCUCGAACCUAUUUUGUUAUGAAUAUCUAGAGUGCGAGAUUUCAAAGAGCUCACUGUGAGUUUAUGUCGCUUGGCUUGAAUCCUCUGAUCUCUUGUGAGUACCUAUGCUUGGCUUUGAGCUCUCUGAUCUCUUUGUGGGUAUAUGUCACAAGAUAUUUGUUCUGUCAUCUGUUUCUGGAUCUUUUUCAUAGCAUGUCUUAUCUCUGAUCUAGUUGUGGUUGUAUAUGGUCUCUGAAGUGUUCUGGAGUAUAUCCCAUGAUGUGAGUCCCCUGAUCUGUUUGUUGGUAUAUUUCUCAGAGUAUGAGGUCUCUGGUCUCUUUGAAGGCAUAGACUGCAGGGUUUGAGGUUUGUGGUCUCUGUGGUUAUGUGUCCAGGUUUUGAGGUCUCUAAUCUGUUUGUUGAGGUAUAUCCCAGGGUGUGAACUCUCUGAUCUCGGUGUGUGUUGGAUAGGGGGAGCAGUACAUGUCUAAUGGUGUGAAGAUUCAGAUCUGUUUUCUGGUAAAUGAACCAGGUUGAAAGGACUCUGAUGUGUUUGAGGGUGUUUUCCCAGGACGUGAGUUCUUUGAUCUGUCUCUGGACACAGAUCUUAGGACAUGUGGUCUCAGAGCCCUUUGUGGAUAUACAUCCCAGGUGUGAGUUCCCUGAGCUGAUGGAGGCUAUAUAUCCCAGGGUGUUAGGUACUGAUAUUUUUGGUGUUAUUUGCAAG
ensembl:lncRNA